UACGUAGGGGGCUAGCGUUGUCCGGAAUCAUUGGGCGUAAAGAGCGUGUAGGCGGCCCGGUAAGUCGGCUGUGAAAGUCAAGGGCUCAACCCUUGAAAGCCGGCCGAUACUGCCGGACUAGAGUCCGGAAGAGGCGAGUGGAAUUCCCGGUGUAGCGGUGAAAUGCGCAGAUAUCGGGAGGAACACCAAUGGCGAAGGCAGCUCGCUGGGACGGUACUGACGCUGAGGCGCGAAAGCUAGGGGAGCAAACGGG
rnacentral:rRNA from 1 species